rnacentral:rRNA from 1 species
UAGUAGUAGUAUUAAGUUUAAAUUUAUUUUAUUUAAAUUAUAUUUUGUUGGGGAGAUGUUUAUAUAAUUUGUAACUGUUUAAAAAAUUAAAUAAUUAUAAUUAGUUUUUGAUCCUUUAUUAAAGAUUUAAAGAUUAAGUUACUUUAGGGAUAACAGCGUUAUUUUCUCUGAGAGUUCUUAUCGACGAGAGUAGUUGCGACCUCGAUGUUGAAUUAAAAUUUCAGAUUGGUGUAGCCGCUUUUCUGGUAGGUCUGUUCGACCUUUAAAA